rnacentral:rRNA from 1 species
UACGUAGGGUGCGAGCGUUGUCCGGAAUUAUUGGGCGUAAAGGGCUCGUAGGCGGUUUGUUGAGUCAGGAGUGAAAACUCGGGGCUUAACCCCGAGCCUGCUUCUGAUACGGGCAGACUAGAGGUAUGCAGGGGAGAACGGAAUUCCUGGUGUAGCGGUGAAAUGCGCAGAUAUCAGGAGGAACACCGGUGGCGAAGGCGGUUCUCUGGGCAUUACCUGACGCUGAGGAGCGAAAGUGUGGGGAGCGAACAGG